rnacentral:lncRNA from 1 species
GUCGUCCCACCAUUGCCAGGGUGGCUGCUCUUUAACUAACAGGUGGUGUGUGUGUGUUUCCUUUUCUUUUCUUUUUCUUUACUGCUCCUACUACUAGGAGCACGAGAGAGAUGGGAGAGAGACGCGGAUGGAGCACGGGGGGAUUCCGUCCGGGGAAGGGGAGGGAUGGCUGCCACCUGCCUGCAUGUGCAUCAGUUUUAGUUUUUAUUACAGCUCCACCUGGCCACGCCACCGGGCAGGCAGUUGGCCUAAAAGCGCACUACCCUACACUGCUCUGCUCUCUGG